GGGGGAAUAUUGCACAAUGGGCGCAAGCCUGAUGCAGCCAUGCCGCGUGUGUGAAGAAGGCCUUCGGGUUGUAAAGCACUUUCAGCGAGGAGGAAGGGUAGUGUGUUAAUAGCACAUUGCAUUGACGUUACUCGCAGAAGAAGCACCGGCUAACUCCGUGCCAGCAGCCGCGGUAAUACGGAGGGUGCAAGCGUUAAUGGGAAUUACUGGGCGUAAAGCGCACGCAGGCGGUUUGUUAAGUCAGAUGUGAAAUCCCCGCGCUUAACGUGGGAACUGCAUUUGAAACUGGCAAGCUAGAGUCUUGUAGAGGGGGGUAGAAUUCCAGGUGUAGCGGUGAAAUGCGUAGAGAUCUGGAGGAAUACCGGUGGCGAAGGCGGCCCCCUGGACAAAGACUGACGCUCAGGUGCGAAAGCGUGGGGAGCAAACA
rnacentral:rRNA from 1 species